UAAGACGAACCGUCCAAACGUUAUUCGGAAUUACUGGGCUUAAAGGGUGCGUAGGCUGCGCUGUAAGUCAGGUGUGAAAUCCCUCAGCUCAACUGAGGAAUUGCGCUUGAUACUGCAGUGCUCGAGGGAGAUAGGGGUUAGCGGAACUGAUGGUGGAGCGGUGAAAUGCGUUGAUAUCAUCAGGAACACCGGUGGCGAAAGCGGCUAACUGGAUCUCUUCUGACGCUGAGGCACGAAAGCUAGGGGAGCGAACGGGAUUAGAUACCCCGGUAGUCCUAGCCGUAAACGAUGAGCACUUGAUCGGAGACUCCUCCAUAGGUUUCCGGUCGUAGCGAAAGUGUUAAGUGCUCCGCCUGGGGAGUAUGGUCGCAAGGCUG
rnacentral:rRNA from 1 species